rnacentral:rRNA from 1 species
UGGGGAAUAUUGGACAAUGGGCGAAAGCCUGAUCCAGCCAUGCCGCGUGAGUGAUGAAGGCCUUAGGGUUGUAAAGCUCUUUUGGCGGGGAAGAUAAUGACGGUACCCGCAGAAUAAGCACCGGCUAACUUCGUGCCAGCAGCCGCGGUAAUACGAAGGGUGCUAGCGUUGUUCGGAAUUACUGGGCGUAAAGCGCGCGUAGGCGGUCCUACCAGUCAGGGGUGAAAUCCCGCAGCUCAACUGCGGAACUGCCUCUGAAACAGUGGGACUGGAGUGUGUGAGGGGAUGGCGGAAUUCCUAAUGUAGAGGUGAAAUUCGUAGAUAUUAGGAGGAACACCGGUGGCGAAGGCGGCCAUCUGGCACACAACUGACGCUGAGGCGCGAAAGCGUGGGGAUCAAACAGGAUUAGAUACCCCCGUAGUCC